UACGUAGGGUCCAAGCGUUAUCCGGAAUCACUGGGCGUAAAGCGUGCGUAGGUGGCGUGUUAAGUGUGAUGUUAAAAUCGCGGGGGCUCAACCCUGUCGGUGCAUCGCAUACUGGCAUGCUAGAGGGAAGCAGAGGCAAGUGGAAUUUGUAGUGUAGCAGUGAAAUGCGUAGAUAUUACAAGGAACACCAAUGGCGAAGGCAGCUUGCUGGGCUUCUUCUGACACUGAGGUACGAAAGCGUGGGGAGCGAACAGG
rnacentral:rRNA from 1 species